rnacentral:lncRNA from 1 species
AUGCUGCCCAGCAGGACAAAUGGUUUCCGGGUAUUUGGUUUAGUGAUGUCUCUUCAGUUGUGACACUUAAUUGUCCCCAACAGGGACUGGGCAGCAGCUGAGCCCCACCUCUUCCUUUUCUCUGGUAACCCCAGACAUAGUCAGCAGCCUUUCCCCUACAGAAAUAGCUCAAUGGUAAGUGCUGAAUCAGAUGUAAUUGAUGAAUUACUGCAGUGACAGGAGGAUGGGGGUGGGUAAAUUCUGUGUGUGUGUGUCGGUGAGUGCAAGAUUCCUCCCACGCACUCUCUGACUGAUGCAAAAUGCUGGGAAUUGUGCUCUAGCAGAGCAUAAUAUAAGAAGCAUAACCUGGAGAAAUCUGUGAGUACUUGCCAAUAGCAAAAACCCAGCUGAAGGGGCGGAGAAUGCUGAACGUUCUUCUUCGGGGUUUUCUCUUGGAGUCUGUGCUUCCUUUAGAGUAACGUUACACAUUAUUGAGAGAGAGAAAACCCUUUCAGACCACGGCUGACCCAUGUCUUCUGCCAAGUGACACUGGUUUCUUCCCAGCAUUCGAAAAGCCAGGGAGGAGGAGGAGGGAAGGAGGCCAAUUCUCCAUGCAUCAUCAGCUGCGUAUACACUGGACUGGCCCCAAAUACACUGACAGCAUCUUCCCUCUUCAUUCUCCAGAGGCCUUAGGCCUAGUUGUUGCUGCUGCUGCUGCUGCUGCUGUUGCUUCACAGGGAGAGGAAGUCUCCGAAGCUGUUUCUGGGAAGUUUUUCAGGAGGACUCACCGACAGAGCGCAAAACUCACAAACCCUUUCGCAAACUGCGAUCUAAGCGUGGUUUCUCCCCAGGCACAGCCAAACACAUUGUUGUCUGGAAGGAUUGUCCAGCGAUUCUUGUCAGUCACCAUCCUUAUUCAGCUCCACUAAUCGUCAAGAUGCUUCCAGGUGUUUCAAAUGGCAUAGAGGUGAAGAAAAAAUCUUGUUGGGCUGUGUGGAAAGGGGGAAAUCACCCUCUCAUUCCACUUGUGGAGCUCCUCCUGUCAGGAGCUGUUCACCAUGGGUUCGCGCUUAGUGUUUCACACUGACUGCCAGUUGUGCCCUGUUUGGAUUGGCUGAACUGGCAUUUGAAACAAAGGUCAGCCAUGAAUGGCAAUUGGCUGCUGCUGGGAGGGAACAAUAAUGAGUGGAUGAUGUAAUUGUAACAUGCAGCUGGCAAAAAGCACAAAGUCUUAAGGUCUGAGCAGGACACUCCUGCCUACAAAUGUUUGUUUUCCAAGGGAUGGUGAAAAGUCUGGCAAGACAAGUUCCACUAGUUUCUUACAAAGAAUGCAGCUGAAAAUGCUGAUGAAUUGCAUGGUUCAUUCUCCAGAUCUAUUAAUUG